AGUGAACGCUGGCGGUAGGCCUAACACAUGCAAGUCGAACGGCAGCACAGGAGAGCUUGCUCUCUGGGUGGCGAGUGGCGGACGGGUGAGGAAUACAUCGGAAUCUACUCUGUCGUGGGGGAUAACGUAGGGAAACUUACGCUAAUACCGCAUACGACCUACGGGUGAAAGCAGGGGAUCUUCGGACCUUGCGCGAUUGAAUGAGCCGAUGUCGGAUUAGCUAGUUGGCGGGGUAAUGGCCCACCAAGGCGACGAUCCGUAGCUGGUCUGGGAGGAUGACCAGCCACAAUGGAACUGAGACACGGUCCAGACUCCUACGGGAGGCAGCAGUGGGGAAUAUUGGACAAUGGGCGCAAGCCUGAUCCAGCCAUACCGCGUGGGUGAAGAAGGCCUUCGGGUUGUAAAGCCCUUUUGUUGGGAAAGAAAUCCAGCUGGCUAAUACCCGGUUGGGAUGACGGUACCCAAAGAAUAAGCACCGGCUAACUUCGUGCCAGCCGCCGCCGUAA
rnacentral:rRNA from 1 species